GCAUUGGGGUUUCAGUGGUAGAAUUCUCACCUUCCACGCAAGAGACCCCAGGUAUGAUUCCCAGCCAAUGCA
rnacentral:tRNA from 1 species